UCCUACGGGAGGCAGCAGUGGGGAAUUUUGCGCAAUGGGGGAAACCCUGACGCAGCAACGCCGCGUGGAGGAUGAAGUCUCUUGGGACGUAAACUCCUUUCGAUUGGGACGAUUAUGACGGUACCAAUAGAAGAAGCCCCGGCUAACUUCGUGCCAGCAGCCGCGGUAAUACGAGGGGGGCAAGCGUUGUUCGGAAUUAUUGGGCGUAAAGGGUGCGUAGGCGGCCCCGCAAGUCUUGUGUGAAAUCCUCAAGCUCAACUUGAGGCCUGCACGAGAAACUGCUGGGCUGGAGUAUGGGAGAGGUGAGUGGAAUUCCUGGUGUAGCGGUGAAAUGCGUAGAUAUCAGGAGGAACACCUGUGGCGAAAGCGGCUCACUGGACCAUAACUGACGCUGAGGCACGAAAGCUAGGGGAGCAAACAGGAUUAGAUACCCUGGUAGUCCUAGCCCUAAACGAUGAUCGCUUGGUGUGGCGGGUACCCAAUCCCGUCGUGCCGUAGCUAACGCGUUAAGUUCGCCGCCUGGGGAGUACGGUCGCAAGACUGAAACUCAAAUGAAUUGACGGA
rnacentral:rRNA from 1 species